rnacentral:rRNA from 1 species
CCUACGGGAGGCAGCAGUGAGGAAUAUUGGUCAAUGGGAGAGAUCCUGAACCAGCCAAGCCGCGUGAGGGAAGACGGCCCUAUGGGUUGUAAACCUCUUUUGUCGGAGAACAAAACCCGGGACGUGUCCCGGACUGCGUGUAUCCGAAGAAAACGCAUCGGCUACCUCCGUGCCAGCAGCCGCGGUAAUCCGGAGGCUGCGAGCGUUAUCCGGAUUUAUUGGGUUUAAAGGGUGCGUAGGCGGUCCGUUAAGUCAGCGGUAAAAUGGCGGGGCGAAACCCCGUCGAGCCGGUGAAACUGGCAGACUUGAGUGGGUGAGAAGUACGCGGAAUGCGCGGGGUAGCGGUGAAAUGCAUAGAUAGCGCGCAGAACACCGAUUGCGAAGGCAGCGUACCGGAGCGAGACUGACGCUGAGGCACGAAAGCGUGGGGAUCGAACAGGAUUAGAUACCCGAGUAGUC